rnacentral:rRNA from 1 species
AUGAAUGGCAUAACGAGGGUUUAACUGUCUCUUUUUUUCGGUCAAUGAAACUGAUCUGCCCGNGCAGAAGCGGGCAUACCCACACAAGACGAGAAGACCCUAUGGAGCUUUAGACGCUCACCAACCACUAAAAGAGACCCGAUCUAACGGGCUUUCAAACAAUGUGGCCCUGGUAUAAACGUCUUCGGUUGGGGCGACCGCGGAGGAGAGAAAAGCCUCCGAGAGGAUUGGGGGAAACCCUAAAACCAAGAGCCACAGCUCUAAGUCACAAAAUAUUUGACCGACAACGAUCCAGCUUCUUGCCGAUCAACGGACCAAGUUACCCUAGGGAUAACAGCGCAAUCCCCUCCCAGAGUCCAUAUCGACGAGGGGGUUUACGACCUCGAUGUUGGAUCAGGACAUCCUAAUGGUGCAGCCGCUAUUAAGGGUUCG